rnacentral:lncRNA from 1 species
ACAACGUUCUUCACAUAUUCUUCUUCUUUAUCAUCCUCAUAAUCUUUGUUAACACAAUGAGAUAGAGAGAAGGAGAUGAGUAUGGGGUGAGAGAUUAGAUGAUAAUGUUUCUUUUUGCAUGAAAAAUAAUAUGUCAUGCAAGAAAGAGGGGGUGAGAGGAUUAAUAGUGGAGGGAAGUAGAUUGGUGUUACAAAGCUCAUUAAUUAAUAAAAUAUAAUGCAUGUAAUUAAAUGUGGAGAGGUGAAGGGUUGAGCAUUUAGAAGUGGAGAUUAAUGGUGGAGGGGAGUGGAUUGGAAUUACAAAGCUCAUUAAUUGAUAGAAUAUGAUGCAUGCAAUUAAAUGUGGAGAGAUGAAGGGUUUAGCAUAGCAUUUAGAAAUGAGGAUUAAUAGUGGAAGGGAGUGGAUUGGAGUUACAAAGCUGACUAAUUGAUGAAAUAUAAUGCAUGUAAUUAAAUAUGGAGAGGUGAAGGGUUACGUAUUUAGAAGUGGAGAAAAAACGUAAAUUUUAUAUUGGAGAUUCAUAUAAGAAAUAAAUAUUAUUUAUUAACCUAAGAAUGAAGGAUUUCUUGUCACGUGGCAAGAAACAUUAUGGAUUCAUUAUGUUUAAUAUAUAUAUAUAUAUAUAUAUAUAUAUAUAUAU